rnacentral:sRNA from 2 species
GCCUUAAAAAAAAAAAAAUAAUGCUCAGUUCUUUCCGAAUAACAGUACGGGAAAUGGAUAAAAUAAAUCAUAAAAAUUCAAUUCUUCUACGCCGUAUAGGUGAGUCUGAUCAUAAAAAGAAGAUUAAACUAUCAGGAACUGCUGCAAGAGUAGGCACGCGGCCAGAUGCUUAUUUAUAGACAAUGGGUAUAAGGAGAAUGCCUAACAACGAAUAGGAAAAAAUGGGCUCAAAACAAAACCCCCCAAGAGAUCAAGACUUUCAUCGUAAAGCAAACCCAAAAAGAACCUCCAUGUCAACCCAUUGCCGGCCACAUUUCUUCAAAUACGCGUCCACAACCCCCUUUAAGGUCCCAAAACGUGACCGGUUCCACUCGACCAUCGCGAUAACCUUGUCCCGCUUCUCUGUAUUAGUUUCCUUUGCAGCAGCCUCUUUUGCCUUGUCUACAUCCCACAGUCGCGCAAAGUACAGCAGU